AUGUGGAGACCAUUUGGAGGGAGUGAGAAGAGUGUUACCAGACGAGUGCAGUGGAAGGAGUUUGCGUCAGUGAAGAUGAGGAUAUUCACAACGGUGUAGUUAUAUAUCACCAUUAUCAGAUAUGAGCUGAUUAUAGCAGAAGACUCCCAUACAUGUGUCCUGACGUCAAACAAAAAGAUCAGAGAUGGGAGACAUAUAGAAGAAUCACCAGCAAGACUGAUUAAGUAACCAUGGAAAAGAUCAAGACUCCUGCCAUUUUGAAGAACUGGUUUUCAGUCUAGGGAGAAAAUAUAUUGCAGAGAGCAGGGAAUAUGAACCUACAUCCAUUCAUUGGUUGAAUUAGAUUAAGAAUACAGAGUUUACACAAUUGGAAAUUUCCUAAUUUCGCUCUAUGGCAAUGGCGAAAAUCUUGACACCUCUUUCUGAAGAGUAUUCUAACUCAUAAAUUAUUGGUCAAACAGCAGGUGUAAGUUGCCUGCCAGAGCAUCCUAAACAGUGCUUCUAUCUUGGCUUGAAUAUCUCUAAAGGGAAUAGAUCUUUCAAAUCUAUUCCAAUCAGUCUAUAACUCUUGAGCUGUUUUGGCUGGAAGAAAAAGAAUAUCUUGUAAAGUGAGUAAAUAAACAAAACACAUGUAGAAGAUGGGACACUCUCAAAUCUCUAGGUCAAAAACAUGUUUUAUUUGUCUCUCUAGUUAAUAGGUUAGUAAUUUAUAUAAAAAAUUACAGUGGAAGUAUUCACCUGAAGGAACAGCCAAUGGCCAGUUGGGGAGGAAGCAGAGAUGAAACUUGAGAUAUAAUUUAUUGAAACUGUGCUCCACUUGAUUUGAGUAUGGUUAGAUCAGGUAUUGUUUUUAACAGAGAAUAAUGUACAUAACAGAGAAAACUUUGGAAGUUUUAGCAUACAGCUGUAGAAGCAGCCCUGAAAUGAAUGAAUAUUUUAAUUUCAUUACAACAAACAUUUUUUGAGUUGGUUAUAUGCCAAAGACAGCAUUCAGAACCACAACUACCACAAAUAGGAUAAUUCAUGGAACGUGUUCAUAGAAAAAUUGUGGUAGUAUAUAUAUAAAACAAUAAUAAUAACAAUAUGCAAUUUCUCUAGAAAACUUACUCUAGGGCAUUCACAGUAAAAUGUUCUUCUAGGUAGCCGUUUCUUUCUCCACAGUGCCUAGUAUGCUCCUUGGAAAAUUCAAUAAAUAAUUGUUUAAUGAA